UCUGGUGGCCUAGUGGUUAGAGCGCCCGCCUCAAAUGCGGAAGAUCGUGGAUUCGACCCCGACUGAGUCAU